UGGGGAAGUAUUGCACAAUAGGAGGAAACGUACUGAUGCAGCGACGCCGCGUGAGCGAAGAAGUAUUUCGGUAUGUAAAGCUCUGUCAGCAGGGAAGAUAAUGACGGUACCUGACCAAGAAGCCCCGGCUAACUACGUGCCAGCAGCCGCGGUAAUACGUAUGGAGCAAGCGUUAUCCGGAUUUACUGGGUGUAAAGGGAGUGUAGGCGGCUUUGCAAAGUCAGAUGUGAAAAAGCCCGGGGCGUCAACCCCGGGACCUGCAUUUGAAACUGUGAAGCUGGAGUGUCGGAGAGGUAAGUGGAAUUCCUAGUGUAGCGGUGAAAUGCGUAGAUAUUAGGAAGAACACCAGUGGCGAAGGCGGCUUACUGGACGAUUACUGACGCU
rnacentral:rRNA from 1 species